ensembl:snRNA U12 U12 minor spliceosomal RNA
AUGCCUUAAACUUAUGAGUAAGGAAAGUAACCAUUCGAGGUGAUACCCCAAACCACACUGCUAAUGUAAGAAGAAUUUCUUAGCGGAUAAAGGUCGUCCCUAAGGUGGCCCACCUACUUUGCGGGAUGUCUGGGAGCUGCAAUCUGCCUG